AUAUUUUGACUGUUUAUUGUUUAUAACUAAAUAAAUAGUUAUAGAUAUACAUCUUUUAACAAACAAAAAACAUUAACUGGUAACAUAUCAAUUACAGAAAUACUUCUUUAUCAUAAGCUAUGAUUUCCAAUAACCUUAGAUUUAUGACUUUGAAUAUAUUUUUUAGCCAGCAUAUCGUCAUACUUAUCCUGUAACAUGUGUAUGACAGAUAGGUAAAAUAGUUACAGAAGUAACUCAGUAAGUUAUUACCUUUAUACUACAGUACAUAAUACUUCAUUUUGAUGCAUAAUGACACAAUUUCACCAUAUGCUAACUUAGAUAGUCUUAAAAAUAAUCAAUAUUCAAAAUACUGAAAAGUCAGAAAUAUUAACGAAGUUUUCAUACAUGCAAAAAUUACAAGGAGAUAGAUUUUGCCCCAAAUCAACCUUGCAUUUUUAUGCUUAUUUAAGAAUUAACUUCUUAUGAUACUUUACUUAAAAGAUAGGAAUUUGUAUGUUGCAUUUCUUAAAUCACAAUAAUUAUGGCACCCUCAACGGAUGUUGGGGUGACAUAUUGUUAUUCUACGUUUCUUUUUUUUCUUAUUAUUUUUAUUUUUCUUCCACACAUUUUGUCCGCGCGAGUUCUCGGAAUUGAACGGACCAAUGUUUAUGGAACUCAACUAUAAUGAGGAACCCCAUUUGAAGUUGUGCACCUUGCUAUGGAAUGGUAAAAAAUGGCCGCCGUUUCCAUGGAAACAGCACAAAUGCGAAAAAAAUCAAAGUGUUCCAAACUGGAAGAAACUCCACAGGAAUGUUAACUGGCAUGUGCUGAUUUCCAGUUUGACUUUGGAAUUUUCAAAAUGGCUGCCGUUACCAUGGAAACAGCUAAAAUAUCAAAAAUUCUAACUCUUUCGUUAUAAGAUCCAACUGGAUGAAACUUUAUGAAAAUGUUCUCCAGUAUGCCAAGAUGUCAAGACAAUAUUUGGAUAGUUCAAAAUGGCCGCCGUUGUCAUGGAAACUGGGGCCCAGUUUUGCAUUGACCCUAUGGAAAAAUGCAUAAAAUCAGCAUUUUCUCAGAGAGUAGUGCACCAAAGUAAAUGAAACUGUAUUGAUAUAUAACAUGACAUGUGGCAAUGAGAUGUACGCUUUUAGAAUUUUGGAAUUAUCUACUGUAACCAUGGUUGCAGCACAAAUGUUCAAAAUU
rnacentral:lncRNA from 1 species